CCGGGCGUACGGGUGAGUAACACGUAUCCAACCUGCCGUCUACUCUUGGCCAGCCUUCUGAAAGGAAGAUUAAUCCAGGAUGGCAUCAUGAGUUCACAUGUCCGCAUGAUUAAAGGUAUUUUCCGGUAGACGAUGGGGAUGCGUUCCAUUAGAUAGUAGGCGGGGUAACGGCCCACCUAGUCAACGAUGGAUAGGGGUUCUGAGAGGAAGGUCCCCCACAUUGGAACUGAGACACGGUCCAA
rnacentral:rRNA from 1 species